rnacentral:misc_RNA from 1 species
AAGGAUCAUUAACACGUUUUAUCACAAAACAAACCAAACUCUGUGAACUGAGGUGAGCUGAAAGGCUUGCCGAACUUUAUUUAACCGAUAUAGCCUUGUCAAGGAGCUAACCUGUUUAGCACCUUUUCAGGUAUAACUGUUAUUUUCUCUUUUAUGUGCAUCUGCUGGCACCGAUACGUGUCGCAGAGUCACUUAAAACAAACUCGAACAACUCUUAGCAACGGAUAUCUUGGUUCCC